rnacentral:rRNA from 1 species
CCUACGGGUGGCAGCAGUAGGGAAUCUUCCACAAUGGGCGAAAGCCUGAUGGAGCAACGCCGCGUGGGUGAAGAAGGUCUUCGGAUCGUAAAACCCUGUUGUUAGAGAGGAAAGUGCGUGAGAGUAACUGUUCACGUUUCGACGGUAUCUAACCAGAAAGCCACGGCUAACUACGUGCCAGCAGCCGCGGUAAUACGUAGGUGGCAAGCGUUAUCCGGAUUGAUUGGGCGUAAAGGGAACGCAGGCGGUCUUUUAAGUCUGAUGUGAAAGGCUUCGGCUUAACCGGAGUAGUGCAUUGGAAACUGGUAGACUUGAGUGCAGAAGCGGAGAGUGGAAUGUAAGGUGUAGCGGUGAAAUGCGUAGAUAUAAGGAAGAACACCAGUGGCGAAAGCGGCUCUCUGGUCUGUAACUGACGCUGAGGUUCGAAAGCGUGGGUAGCAAACAGGAUUAGAUACCCCUGUAGUC